GUCACACAACCACAUGUUCAUCUCUCUCAUCUAUGGAGUCUUCUGCACCUGUCUUGGCCCUCAGCGGUCUGCCCCCAUUAUCUACUGCUGUGUAACAAACACCAUUUUACCGUAGUCCGCAAUUGUGUGGGCCAGGAAUUUAGAAAUGGCUCGGCUGGACAAUCCUGCUCCUCAUCGUGAUGCUGAGCGAGUGUUCCCAGAGGCCCGGAGAGAAGCUCUCAGGCUGAGCCCAGCCAGGUCCACCAUGGAUCUUACAGGUGUGACGUUACCAGACUGAAAUCAGCUGAAUACUUGUGAUUUGCACCUGCUUCAGCAGUAGAGGGCUGUAUGGCAUGAAGGCCCCAACUAGGAGGAGAGGGAAAGAAGAAGAAAGAGAAAAACUUCAGGAAAACUAAUAAUUACAGAAAGAAGCA